CUUCCUUGUUGAGAGACCUGCAAGAAGAUAAAUGUCACGUUAAGGAAACAGACACUUUACUGGUUUAAGGAUCAAUACACUCUGAAAUUGACUACUUCUUCAACAACUUCAAGCCCAUAUGUGCAGAUAUUUAGUGUUGUUGUAGCUUCUUGGCUCUAAUUCUUCUGAUGGCAUGAGUUGUGUUUCAGCUGAGACCUGCUGAUGGCGGCGUGUUGUGAACAUUUGGAGGUACCUGAGCUUUUUCAGCAGCUGAGCUCUUGGAAACGCAGGCGUCCUCCUCGGACGCCUCGGGCCCCUCCGCGAACACGUGUUUGGCAGUGCCGAGCUGCAUCACCCGACUCAGAUGGGGGGCGAUGGCCUGGACCAGCGAGUCCUUCUCCUCCUCACACCCUUGGCUGUCGUCCUCUUUGCCAGGGAAAGAGAGUUCGGAUCCUGCGGUCACGAUGACGAACGGCGUGUUGGAGUCGAACAUCCUGGUUUCCCCCAGCGAACAUGGUUUGUCAGAGAAGACGGGACAUGUAACCACAACGACGCGGCGUAUGAUGGAGCACAUGGUGUUUGUGUAAUUCCUUUAACCGCCUGAAGGGGGAGACGAGAGCAGGUUUAAACAUUUUGAGCCAAAAAAUGCCUCCUCAGAUAAAAUAAAAGCCCAUGUCAGAUCAGCUACAGCAGAAACAGAAAUAUCAUAAUCGGUGUUUUAAUGCGGUGGUAUUUGCCGCGGCCGGGCGUGAAUGAACAGACACCAGUAGUGAGGCUGGCAAAGGUGAGUAUUAAUAGCACGCAGAGGAGCAGCCGCAUGCUUUCCACUGAGGGCGGCCAGCUGUCCGAGUCUCUCUUCCUCGACACUCGCCAUGUUGACAGCCAAUACUGGAGGAUCAAAACACACACACACUCCCACACAUAAAGGCCGCCACUUGUCCUGAAGUCCUGGUACAGAGGCCGCGGGUGGAGGAGAUGACACAUGUGAGGCGGUCUGGUUGAUAACGUGAAGACGUGCAAAUCAACAGCUGUGCUUGAGUUGUGACAACAAAGAAAUAAACUCACUGGUACAAAAGUGACACCAGUGUUGUAAAAAGUACAAAUUAAAAAUAAAGAUAUUGUGCUAAAAUCACCCAAAUUAAAAGUAAGUUAAGUUAAUAAAUAGUAAAUUAUAGGCUGCAUACAUCAACUUAUAUGUAUUUACUCUAUACGAGAGUUCAGUUGCUAAUUGGC